rnacentral:rRNA from 1 species
AUUGAACGCUGGCGGCAUGCCCUACACAUGCAAGUCGAACGGUAACAGGUCUUCGGAUGCUGACGAGUGGCGAACGGGUGAGUAAUACAUCGGAACGUGCCCGAUCGUGGGGGAUAACGAGGCGAAAGCUUUGCUAAUACCGCAUACGAUCUACGGAUGAAAGCGGGGGAUCUUCGGACCUCGCGCGGACGGAGCGGCCGAUGGCAGAUUAGGUAGUUGGUGGGAUAAAAGCUUACCAAGCCGACGAUCUGUAGCUGGUCUGAGAGGAUGAUCAGCCACACUGGGACUGAGACACGGCCCAGACUCCUACGGGAGGCAGCAGUGGGGAAUUUUGGACAAUGGGCGAAAGCCUGAUCCAGCCAUGCCGCGUGCAGGAUGAAGGCCUUUGGGUUGUAAACUGCUUUUGUACGGAACGAAAAGCCUCUUUCUAAUAAAGAGGGGUCAUGACGGUACCGUAAGAAUAAGCACCGGCUAACUACGUG